ensembl:lncRNA ATP13A3-DT ATP13A3 divergent transcript
GAACGGGCAAAAGAAAGAAAGAGGCAGGCAUUCCUCAGGCCUUAUCUCUCUGGUUCUUUCUGCUACAUUUGACACCUUGGGAUGACUCUCACCUUCUGGAAUCUCUCUACUACCUUGGUUUCAGAAGAGUGAACCCUCUGGAUUAUCACAUGAAGCUACUUCCUGUGAGCAGCCCAGGGAUGGCCAGUCACUUGUGACCUACUUUCAGAGCUGGCAGUUCUGACUUCUAGAACAAACUCGGAACAAGCCCAUCUACAGCUGGUUGACUGAGUUUCCUUUGGGCUCCUGGCACCAGAAAGAAUUGCUCACUGGAAGGAUCAUAGGUGGCACUCAUGUCUCACUGCCCCACUCAGGCAACAUCAUGCACGCGGAUGAUCAACAGUCAGUUCCUGGUCAACAUAAGUAAACAAGCCUGUUUAAGAUAAAUUCCCCCACACUCCCUUGUACCUACUCCUUGCCCUCUGCCCCAGGGUUAUAGAACAGCUGCUUUCUGCUAUUCUCCCCCCAGGCUCUGCAGAACCUUCUGACCUUUCAGAAGGUUUGCAUCCUUUCCCUAUAGUUUUUCCACCGCUCUGACCAGUCCCCCACAAUAUAUAGCCUUGUAUGCAAAGCCAGGCCUGUCCAUGCAGGGUGACCAUCCAAGGUAGACAGUGGCAAAAUCUGGUGGAGGCAUCAGAGAUAGUGCCAUCAGUUUGCUGGAACAAGCAUAUCAAGGAGCCUGGCAGAUCUACACUUCACCAGACGGUGCCUGUAGCCAACAGGGCAGGCCCUUGCUCCAGGGAAACACUCAGAAAUCAAAACUCCUUGCUCUGCUGCCAGGGAACUCUCCAGGAGAUCCUCAGUGUCAUCAGAAGCUGAAAAAAACAGUGCUGAGAAACGUGGCCUGCCGUCUUUCCAGCUAAGGGAGAUGGCCCAUUCGACCCUGGGUUGUCCUCUGCAAACGCGCUGCUGCAGGUUGCAUGGCACCAUCUCCUGAUUGCAAUUUGCUUUCCUGAGGGAGUGAACUGACUGAAAUUGGAUGGUAAUAAGUUGCUAGGUUAUUUUCCACUUUUUAGUUUAUGAGGCUUAUUCAUUUUGCUUUAACAUUAACCACUGCCUUCCUUUUAAGGAGCUGGUGAGGCAGCGCAUGGCAACAGGUUCAGGGUGAGGAGUGGCACCACCUCCUUUCAGUGAGGAUUUGGGAAGGGUGAAAAGCACCCUAAUCUUCUCAGCCGCAUGUGAACAAACCACCUGUCAAGGUGGGUCCUUCCUAUAGGGAGGUUGAUGUCAGCCCUUCAGGGAGGUCUCAGUUUUCUUCCUCCACUUCCUAAUCCCUUCAUUAUAAUUCCUUCCACAACAGAAUAAGUUUCUUGAGCAAUGCAGCAAUAUCCAGCAAUUUUAGAUAGACAUUUACCUUUUGACCUAGAAAUCUCACUUCUACGAAUCCAUCCUAAAGACACACUUUCAGCUGGAUGUGGUCGCUCAUGCCUGCGAUCCUAACACUCUGGGAGGCUAAAGUGGAAGAAUCUCUUGGGCUCAGGAGCUCAAGACCAGCCUGGGCAACAUAGGAAGACCCUAUCUCUAAAAAAAAUAAAAAUAAAAACGGCACACAGUCAAAAAUUCAAAAAUUAAUAUACAUAAGGCUAUUUAUUACAGAAACAUUGGUAGUAGCAAAAGACUGGAAAUAACUCAAUGCCCAUCAAUAGGGAACGGAGUAAAUAAACUAAGAUACCUACACAUAAUGGAGUGCCAUGCAGCUUUGAAAGGAAAUGAGGCAUAUUUCUAUGUUAUAUGUUGUGAUCACCAGAAUAUAACCUAAUGAGUAAAAAGCCAGGUGAAGAAAAUUCUGAUAAUAUGCUAUCAUUGGAGAGGGGAAUAUGAAUAUACCAUACAUCACAUAGGAGGAGAGAGGAAAUAAAGUGAGAGGAUUGGGAUAGAAGCUAGACUUUUCUAAAUAUAUCUUGUUUUAUAGAUUUAUGUUGGAAGUUUGUGGAUAUAGUACUUUAGAAAAGUAUAAAACCAAAUUAGACUUGACAAAAUGAAACAAGUCAAUCUGUUGAGUUGAUGGUGUAACUACACAGUGAGAAACUAUUGCAAAUGACCUUAACACUCAGGAAUUCCACUGUAUAUUCCUAAUGGGAGAUCCCCUAAUGACCAAACUUAAACCCAGUCCAACCAAACCAAAAAACCUUGUAAAAUAUCUGAAACCAUUUUUAGUAAUGAAAUGAGAAAUGUGGUCGUGUUGGUGAUAUGGUUUGGCUGUGUCCCCACCCCGACAUCAUCUUGAAUUGUAACUCCCACAAUUCCCACAUGUCAUGAGAGGAACCCAGUGGGAGGUGAUUGAAUUAUGGGUGUGGGUCUUUCCUGCGCUGUUCCCAUGAUAGUGAAUGACAAGAUCUGAUGAUUUUAAAAACGGUUUCCCCGCACAACCUCCCUCUCUUGCCUGCCACCAUCUAUGUAAGAUGUGACUUGUUCCUCCUUGCCUUCCGCUGUGAUCGUGAGGCCUCCCCAGCCAUGUGGAACUGUAAGUCCAUUAAACCUCUUUUUCUUCCCAGUCUCGGGUAUGUCUUCAUCAGCAGCAUGAAAAUAAACUCAUACAGUAAAUUGGUACCAAUAAAGUGGGGUGCUGCUGAAAAGAUACCCAAAAAUGUGGAAGCGACUUUGGAACUGGGUUAUCAGGCAGAGGCUGGAACAGUUUGGAGGGCUCAGAAGAAGACAGGAAAAUGUGGGAAAGUUUGGAACUUCCUAGAGACUUGUUGAAUGGCUUUGACAAAAAUGCUGAUAGUGAUAUGAACAAUAAGGUCCAGGCUGAGGUGGUCUCAGAUGGAGAUGAGGAACUUGUUGGGAACUGGAACAAAGGUGACCCUUGUUAUGUUUUAGCAAAGAGACUGGUGGCAUUUUGCUCCUGCCUUAGAGAUUUGCAGAACUUUGAACUUGAGAGAGAUGAUUUAGAGUAUCUGGUGGAAGAAAUGUCUAAGCAACAAAGUAUUCAAGAGGUGACUUGGGCGUUCUUAAACACAUUCAGUUUUAUAAGGGAAGCAGAGCAUAAAAGUUCAGAAACUUGCAGCCUGACAAUGUAAUAGAAAAGAAAAUUCUAUUUUCUGAGGAGAAAUUCAAGCUGGCUGCAGAAAUUUGCAUAAGAAAUGGGGACCCAAAUAUUAAUCUCCAAGACAAUGGGGAAAAUGUCUCCAGGGCAUUUCAGAGGUCUUCAUGGCAGCCCCUCCCAUCACGGGACCAGAGGCCUAGGAGGAAAAAAAUGGUUUCUUGGGCCAGGCCCAGGGUCUCCGUGCUGUGUGCAGCCUAGGGACUUGGUGCCCUGCAUCCCAGCUACUCCAGCCAUGAUUAAAAGGGCCCAAGGUACAGCUCGGGCCGUGGCUGCAGAGGGUGCAAGCCUCAAGCCUUGGAAGCUUCUAUGUGGAAUUCAACCUGUGGGUGCACAGAAGUCAAGAACUGAGGCUUGGGAACCUCUGCCUAGAUUUCAGAGGAUGUAUGGAAACGCCUGGAUAUCCAGGAAGUUUGCUGCAGGGACAGGGCCCUCAUGGAGAACCUCUGCUGGGACAGUGUGGAAAGGAAAUGUGGAGUUGGAGUCCCCACACAGAGUCCCAACUGGGGCACCACCUAGUGGAGCUGUGAGAAGAGGGCCACUGUCCUCCAGACCCCAGAAUGGUAGAUCCACCGACAGCUUGCACAUGUGCCUGGAAAAUCGGCAGACACUCAACACCAGCCCAUGAAAGCAGCCAGAAGGGAGGGUGUACCCUGCAAAGCCACAGGGGCUGAGCUGCCCAAGACCAUGGGAACCCACUUCUUGCAUCAGCGUGACCCGGAUGCGAGACAUGGAGUCAAAGGAGAUCAUUUUGGAGAUUUAAGACUUAACUGCCCUGCUGGAUUUCUGAUUUGUAUGGGGACCAGAGCGCCUUUGUUUUGGCCAAUUUCUCCCAUUUGGAAUGGCUGUAUUUACCCGAUACCUGUACCCCCAUUGUAUCUGGGAAGUAACUAACUUGCUUUUGAUCUUACAAGCUCCUAGGCGAAAGGAAUGUGCCUUGUCUCAGAUGAGACUUUGGACUGUGGACUUUUGAGUUAAUGCUGAAAUGAGUUAAGACUUUGGGAGACUGUUGGGAAGGCAUGACUGGUUUUGAAACGUGAGAACAUGAGAUUUGGGAGGGGCCAGAGGCGGGAUGAUAUGGUUUGGCUGUGUCCCCACCGAAAUCUCAUUUUGAAUUGUAACUCCCACAACUCCUGUGUGUCAUUGGAGGAACCCAGUGGGAGGUGAUCGAAUUAUGGGGGCAGGUCUUUCCUGUGCGGUUCUCAUGAUGGUAAAUGAGUCUCACAAGAGCUGAUCGUUUUAAAAGUGGGAGUUUCCCUGUACAAGCUGUCUCUCUUGCCUGCUGCCAUUCAUGUAAGAUGUGACUUACUCCUCCUUGCCUUCCACAAUGAUUGUGAGGCCGUCCCAGCCAUGUG